AUGGAGCGCUUUAAAGGUGGGGUCCGAUCGCAGGCGAAGUUGGUGGAGUCCGGAGGGGAUGUAAGGAGACCUGGAGAGUCCCUCCGUCUCUCCUGCCAAGCCUCCGGCAUCAGCUUUGGUGGCUCUUCCAUGAACUGGGUGCGACAGGUUCCUGGGAAAGGAAUGAAAUGGGUGGCAUACAUAAAUUCCCCUUCCAGUGCUAUUCACUACUCAGACAAAGUGAAGGGGCGAUUCACCAUCUCCAGGGACAAUCCCAAAAGCCAGCUCUAUUUGCAAAUGAACAGCCUCAAACCAGAGGACAUGGCAGUCUAUUACUGUACAGGAUACACAGUGAGAGGAAGUGUUAAAUCUGAGAUCCAGUUGGUGGAGUCUGGAGGGGAAGUGAAAAGACCUGGACAAUCCCUUCAUCUCACCUGCCAAGCUUCUGGCUUCACCUUCAGCGGCUCUAGCAUGGACUGGGUGAGACAGUCUCCUGGGGAAGGACUGGAAUGGGUGGCGUACAUAAGCUCCGGUUCCAGUAGUAUUUACUACUCAGACAAAGUGAAGGGCCGCUUCACCAUCUUCAGGGACAAUGCCAAAAGCCAGCUGUAUCUGCAAGUUAACAAUCUCAAACCAGAGGACACGGCAGUCUAUUAUUGUGCAAGAGACACACAGUGA